GAUGAACGCUGGCGGCGUGCUUAACACAUGCAAGUCGAACGGGAUCCAGGCAGCUUGCUGCCUGGUGAGAGUGGCGAACGGGUGAGUAAUGCGUGACCGACCUGCCCCAUACACCGGAAUAGCUCCUGGAAACGGGUGGUAAUGCCGGAUGCUCCGACUCCUCGCAUGGGGUGUCGGGAAAGAUUAUAUCGGUAUGGGAUGGGGUCGCGUCCUAUCAGGUAGUCGGCGGGGUAACGGCCCACCGAGCCUACGACGGGUAGCCGGCCUGAGAGGGCGACCGGCCACAUUGGGACUGAGAUACGGCCCAGACUCCUACGGGAGGCAGCAGUGGGGAAUAUUGCACAAUGGGCGCAAGCCUGAUGCAGCGACGCCGCGUGCGGGAUGACGGCCUUCGGGUUGUAAACCGCUUUUGAUCGGGAGCAAGCCUUCGGGUGAGUGUACCUUUCGAAUAAGCACCGGCUAACUACGUGCCAGCAGCCGCGGUAAUACGUAGGGUGCAAGCGUUAUCCGGAAUUAUUGGGCGUAAAGGGCUCGUAGGCGGUUCGUCGCGUCCGGUGUGAAAGUCCAUCGCUUAACGGUGGAUCUGCGCCGGGUACGGGCGGGCUGGAGUGCGGUAGGGGAGACUGGAAUUCCCGGUGUAACGGUGGAAUGUGUAGAUAUCGGGAAGAACACCAAUGGCGAAGGCAGGUCUCUGGGCCGUUACUGACGCUGAGGAGCGAAAGCGUGGGGAGCGAACAGGAUUAGAUACCCUGGUAGUCCACGCCGUAAACGGUGGAUGCU
rnacentral:rRNA from 1 species